UCUCCCGGGAGAAGCAGCAUCUAUUUGACCUGUCUGAUAAGGAUUCCUUUUUCGACAGCAAAACCCGGAGCACAAUUGUCUAUGAGAUCUUGAAGAGAACGACGUGUACCAAGGCCAAGUACAGCAUGGGCAUCACGAGCCUGCUGGCCAAUGGUGUGUACGCGGCUGCAUACCCACUGCACGAUGGAGACUACGAGGGUGAAAACGUCGAGUUCAAUGACAGAAAAGUAAGUUGAUGGAGCGGAGCAGGAGGCAGCUCUGUUGGAGCCUGGAGGUGUUCUGGGGCGGGGUGGGCCUGCAGCCGGAC
rnacentral:sRNA from 1 species